GACGAACGCUGGCGGCGUGCCUAAUACAUGCAAGUCGAGCGGAUUGAUGGGAGCUUGCUCCCUGAUAUCAGCGGCGGACGGGUGAGUAACACGUGGGCAACCUGCCUAUAAGACUGGGAUAACUUCGGGAAACCGGAGCUAAUACCGGAUAAUCCCUUUCCUCUCAUGAGGAAAGGCUGAAAGAUGGUUUACGCUAUCACUUAUAGAUGGGCCCGCGGCGCAUUAGCUAGUUGGUGAGGUAACGGCUCACCAAGGCAAUGAUGCGUAGCCGACCUGAGAGGGUGAUCGGCCACACUGGGACUGAGACACGGCCCAGACUCCUACGGGAGGCAGCAGUAGGGAAUCUUCCGCAAUGGACGAAAGUCUGACGGAACAACGCCGCGUGAGUGAUGAAGGUUUUCGGAUCGUAAAACUCUGUUGUUAGGGAAGAACAAGUACGAGAGUAACUGCUCGUACCUUGACGGUACCUAACCAGAAAGCCACGGCUAACUACGUGCCAGCCGCCGCCGUAA
rnacentral:rRNA from 1 species